CCCGUUAUCCGGGUUGCGGACAGUGUCUGGUGGGUAGUUUGACUGGGGCGGUCUCCUCCUAAAGAGUAACGGAGGAGCACGAAGGUUGGCUAAUCCUGGUCGGACAUCAGGAGGUUAGUGCAAUGGCAUAAGCCAGCUUGACUGCGAGCGUGACGGCGCGAGCAGGUGCGAAAGCAGGUCAUAGUGAUCCGGUGGUUCUGAAUGGAAGGGCCAUCGCUCAACGGAUAAAAGGUACUCCGGGGAUAACAGGCUGAUACCGCCCAAGAGUUCAUAUCGACGGCGGUGUUUGGCACCUCGAUGUCGGCUCAUCACAUCCUGGGGCUGAAGUAGGUCCCAAGGGUAUGGCUGUUCGCCAUUUAAAGUGGUACGCGAGCUGGGUUUAGAACGUCGUGAGACAGUUCGGUCCCUAUCUGCCGUGGGCGCUGGAGAACUGAGGGGGGCUGCUCCUAGUACGAGAGGACCGGAGUGGACGCAUCACUGGUGUUCGGGUUGUCAUGCCAAUGGCACUGCCCGGUAGCUAAAUGCGGAAGAGAUAAGUGCUGAAAGCAUCUAAGCACGAAACUUGCCCCGAGAUGAGUUCUCCCUGACUCCUUGAGAGUCCUGAAGGAACGUUGAAGACGACGACGUUGAUAGGCCGGGUGUGUAAGCGCAGCGAUGCGUUGAGCUAACCGGUACUAAUGAACCGUGAGG
rnacentral:rRNA from 1 species